CCCCCCGCUGCGAGGCAGAAGAUGCCGGUGCUGCGCCCUCGUCUCUUGAUGUUAUCGCUUCGGCUUCCAGAGUCUGGCAGGAGACGCAGAAUUAAACGCAGACGCCGUGGUGCCAAAACAAAAUCGUGAAAAGAUUUGAAGCCCCCGUUCCCUAGACUCGCAGCCUAUCGAACUGGGAACAAGCCCGGCUUUGUUUCAUUUCCUGCACUGAAUGGGGGUGGAAGAGUCUGGAGCCGCAUUGGUUCCGAUAGCGGCGCUGACUCGAAGCCAGAGAAUUUGAAAUUGCUGAAACCCCAGGCAGAAUGGAGACAGCAAGAUGUGAUGGAGAAAAGCCUAUAUGCGGGGGAAAAAGACAUUCUUACCUUGGGUUAGGGAUGAGAAGUGGCAGCUUAAUACUGAGAACUAGAGAAGCACAAAGAGAGAGGGGGAAAAAAAAAAAAAGAAAAGAAAAGAAAAGGUGGUCCAGGUCCAGGCAAAGAAACCAGGCAGAGGCGGAGAACCAAUGCUCUCAACUAGCUGUGAGACACUGAGUGGUACUAUUCCGUCCCCGGGUCCCAGGCUCCUCAUCUGUAACAGGAAGAGCUUAGCUAUGGCAAGUGCAUAUUCCCCUGUGCGCUCGCUGUAACCAAUUCAGAGCGACCUGGUGACGCGUGUCGAAGACGUUGCUGAGAUCGCCCCUGAGAACAGUUGGAAAGGAUACCACGAGUGAUUGGCGAGGUCUGCCACGAACAGAUGAGAGAGAGAAAGAGGGGUAUGCAUGGUGCAAAUUUCCAUUCUUGGACUAGAUGAGCCUGUGGUCCCUUCCAGCUCUGAUAUUCUAGGUGGUGACGCCCCAUCUGCCGUCUCCCCGCCCCUGCCACCAGCCUAUUAUUCAUCAUUUAUUCUGGAAACUUCUCCCCGGGGCGCGCGGGAGCCAGGCCCGCGAGGAUGAGGUGCGGGCCGCGCAAGGGUGACUUCCCCACGGACGCUUUCUUCAAAGAACUGGGCCUACAGGCCAGACGUCAAGGCACAACAUGCUGAGGCCGAGGACGAAGGCGUCCGGGAAGAUCUGUACUCAUCCCAGCGGGGGGCCCCGGAAAGCCUUCCCCGAAG